UACGAAGGGGGCUAGCGUUGCUCGGAAUCACUGGGCGUAAAGGGUGCGUAGGCGGGUCUUUAAGUCAGGGGUGAAAUCCUGGAGCUCAACUCCAGAACUGCCUUUGAUACUGAAGAUCUUGAGACCGGAAGAGGUUAGUGGAACUGCGAGUGUAGAGGUGAAAUUCGUAGAUAUUCGCAAGAACACCAGUGGCGAAGGCGGCUGACUGGUCCGGUUCUGGACGCUGAGGCGCGAAAGCGUGGGGAGCAAACAGGG
rnacentral:rRNA from 1 species